rnacentral:pre_miRNA from 1 species
UGAGGUAGUAGAUUGAAUAGUUGUGGAGUCUGGUCCUCCCUCUGAGCUAACUAUACAAUCUACUGUCUUUC